rnacentral:lncRNA from 12 species
UGAACCCAGACUGUGACUUUAUGCACUGAUAUAUCUCUUAAGCAAGGAGGAAUGUCUAAUCCAUCUCUGUACUUGUAUGGGGCUACAUACAUUGCAAGAAUACAAAGAGAAAGUAUUUCGUGUACCAUAUUCAUUUUUUGGGGGAAGACCAUGUUAAGGGGUGGAUUUUAUACUUUGAUCUGAAGAAGCUGGGACUCCCAGAAGAGCUCAUCUCUUUGAGGACCGACACACAUUGUGGGUGAGUGGUCAGGAAAGCUCUGUCUUCCAUAGUCCUAACUUCAGUUUUUAUCUUUGACUCUA